UACGGAGGGAGCUAGCGUUAUUCGGAAUUACUGGGCGUAAAGCGCACGUAGGCGGCUUUGUAAGUUAGAGGUGAAAGCCUGGAGCUCAACUCCAGAACUGCCUUUAAGACUGCAUCGCUUGAAUCCAGGAGAGGUGAGUGGAAUUCCGAGUGUAGAGGUGAAAUGCGUAGAGAUCCGGAAGAACACCGGUGGCGAAGGCGGCCUGCUGGGCUAUGGCUGACACUGAGGCGCGACAGCGUGGGGAGCAAACAGG
rnacentral:rRNA from 1 species